rnacentral:rRNA from 1 species
ACAGCCCUACGGGACGCAGCAGUGAGGAAUAUUGGUCAACGGGCGAGAGCCUGAACCAGCCAAGUCGCGUGAAGGAUGACGGCCCUACGGGUUGUAAACUUCUUUUGUCAGGGAGCAAUUGAGUCCACGUGUGGGCUUAGCGAGAGUACCUGAAGAAAAAGCAUCGGCUAACUCCGUGCCAGCAGCCGCGGUAAUACGGAGGAUGCGAGCGUUAUCCGGAUUUAUUGGGUUUAAAGGGAGCGUAGGCGGAGUAUCAAGUCAGCGGUAAAAGUUCGGGGC